CGGAGGGUCCAAGCGUUAAUCGGAAUUACUGGGGCGUAAAGCGUGCGCAGGCGGUUUGUUAAGCGAGAUGUGAAAGCCCCGGGCUCAACCUGGGAAUUGCAUUUCGAACUGGCAAACUAGAGUCUUGUAGAGGGGGGUAGAAUUCCAGGUGUAGCGGUGAAAUGCGUAGAGAUCUGGAGGAAUACCGGUGGCGAAGGCGGCCCCCUGGACAAGACUGACGCUCAGGCACGAAAGCGUGGGGAGCAAACAGGAUU
rnacentral:rRNA from 1 species